GUGCUCACUUCAGCAGCACAUAUACCUGGUACUAAAAUUGGAAUGAUACAGAGAAGAUUAGCAUGGUCCUUGCACAAGGAUGACACAAAUUCCUGAAGUGUUCUAUAUUUUU
ensembl:snRNA U6 U6 spliceosomal RNA